AGGUGCUUCCUAGGUGCCCAGAUCUUACAUAUGUCAUCUGAUUUAAUCCUUACGGCCAGUCCAAAAGUGUAAGCUUCAUGAGAGAAGGGGCUUUGUGACAUCCAGAAUUGUUACUCCAGGGCCUAGAACACUGUCUGAAAUAUAGCUGUUACUCAACUACCAUGUGGAAGUGUCUCUGACAGGAAGAGGAAGGAGGACCUCCAACCUUGGUGAGGUAAUGCUACUCAAAAAUCAAAUGAUGAGGUCCCAGUUAAGAUGGCUGCCUGACCCAAAUAUUUCCCCUGCCUUCCAAAAGCCCAAUAAAAUGAUUGCAAAAGAAUAGCCCAGAAGAACAAAGAGAAUGGGAAGAACACCAAGAUAAUACCAAAGAUUUCAAUUAAUUUCUGAAAAACUGAAGAGGACAGAAGACUGUGGGACCUUCUUGGACCAUCUUGAGUGUACUUGUAUUCCUGUUAGUAAAUCCUGGGGCAGAUUUGUGAGGAGCUGGGCCUGAAAGUUUAGCAAGGCUCUCUCUAUUCCAUAAGUUAAUAAGCCUCCUUCACAAUAUUUCAUAGAAUUAGAGAAUUUGGAAGGGACAUCAGAAAUUGC